ACUUUAGCCAUAGUAUAAAGCCUUAGUAGAGGAGAAAUACAGUUUACCAUACUCUUCUAUGUCUUCUCUUUUAAAUCUUUGUUUUUAUUACCAGCACCAAAUUUGUUUUUAUAUUCGAAGAAUCCCUUUGAUUCAGAUUUGAGUUUUAAGUGAUUAUGCCAAAUUUAAUUUAUACACAAAAUUAUUUCGUUUCUCUUGUUUGAAGAGUUCAUCCAUAGUCAUCUGACUAGAUUCAUAUAGUUGUUCUACAAAUAUUCAAAUGCAUAUACACAAGAAGAAGAGACUAUCAUAUCAAAUUUCUGUAAAGAGUGACUCAUCCAGCAUAGUUGGGACGUUGGUAACAUCCACCGAAGAAGGAAUCACCCAUGGAAUCCUUUUUAUCUUCUGCAUUGUUUUAUGACUGUUUAUCUUAAAUGCAGGAGGAGAUGGAGAAAGGUCGAAAGAUAAAUCUUGAUUUUGAUGUGAUGUAUUGGGCUCUAUAUCCAUACCAUCGAGAUCUUAAAUGAAAAAUUUUAGCAUAUUUAGAAGUUCUCAUCUGUGAGAUUAAAGUCAGUGACUGAAUGUGUUGGUUGUGUGAAGGUGUCUAGUAGAGUCUGUUAAAUUGGAGGAUAAUAGACAUCUUCAUGGUUGAAUGUAGAAGUGAGUUGAGAGAGUGUAGUAUUAAAGGUUUGGUGUUGGGAUUGGAGUUUGAGUAGUCGAAGUUUGGUUGAGGAAUUAGAGUGUAUUGUAUGGGUGGUUGAUGACCGGUUUGUUGUUGAUAUUGUCGGUUCUUGUAGUAGUUUGUGUGAGGAGUUUGUUGUUGGGAUGAGGUGGCAUAAAAUGUGUGUUGUUGUUGGGAUGAGGUGGCAUAAAAUGUGUGUUGUUGUGUGGUUUGGGUGUGAUGGUAUGUUUCUUGCGCGGAAGAAGAAGUCUGGGGCCCAAAUUAUGGUGUGUACAUGGGUGAAUUUCAUGAUGUAUGGGUGCGGUUGUUUGUUGUGUUGAAGAAGAGGCAUGUUGACGGGGUCAUUCAAAAAUUGCGUGUCAGCAACAUGCAUAAAUGAAAUUGACAUGUUAUCAACAAUAAAGAAACAAAUAACAUAAGUUGUCACACUCAAAAUCGGGCUAUCUCUAUAAUCACACAGUGGGUAUUGAAGGAACAACAUUCACAUAAACGGCCACACAAAAUAUAAUAGUUAGAAUACAAAUAACUAUUUUAGAAAACAUAGAGAUUGUAAGGUUUCAAACUUACAAUUUUCCCCUCCAUGUGAUCUAUUACGACUCGAUACUCACGUAGAUGAAACGAGGAUUAUUUAUGUAAUCCAUACCUCAUUGACACCAUUUUGCAUUUACAAAAAAGAAAAGAAAUGUAUUAGUGUUUGGUAUAGUUCAUUA